UUCCAGACUCCUACGGGAGGCAGCAGUGAGGAAUAUUGGUCAAUGGGCUUACGCCUGAACCAGCCAAGUCGCGUGAGGGAAGACUGCCCUAUGGGUUGUAAACCUCUUUUGUCAGGGAGCAAUUGGCGCUACGUGUAGCGUUAUCGAGAGUACCUGAAGAAAAAGCAUCGGCUAACUCCGUGCCAGCAGCCGCGGUAAUACGGAGGAUGCGAGCGUUAUCCGGAUUUAUUGGGUUUAAAGGGUGCGUAGGCGGAAUGCCAAGUCAGCGGUAAAAUCGGGGGGCUCAACCUCGCUCCGCCGUUGAAACUGGCGUUCCUGAGUGGGCGAGAAGUAUGCGGAAUGCGUGGUGUAGCGGUGAAAUGCAUAGAUAUCACGCAGAACUCCGAUUGCGAAGGCAACAUACCGGCGCCCAACUGACACUGAAGCACGAAAGCGUGGGUAUCGAACAGGAUUAGAUACCCUCGUA
rnacentral:rRNA from 1 species